rnacentral:rRNA from 1 species
ACGAACGCUGGCGGCGUGCCUAAUACAUGCAAGUAGAACGCUGAAGAGAGGAGCUUGCUCUUCUUGGAUGAGUUGCGAACGGGUGAGUAACGCGUAGGUAACCUGCCUUGUAGCGGGGGAUAACUAUUGGAAACGAUAGCUAAUACCGCAUAACAAUGGAUGACACAUGUCAUUUAUUUGAAAGGGGCAAUUGCUCCACUACAAGAUGGACCUGCGUUGUAUUAGCUAGUAGGUGAGGUAAUGGCUCACCUAGGCGACGAUACAUAGCCGACCUGAGAGGGUGAUCGGCCACACUGGGACUGAGACACGGCCCAGACUCCUACGGGAGGCAGCAGUAGGGAAUCUUCGGCAAUGGGGGCAACCCUGACCGAGCAACGCCGCGUGAGUGAAGAAGGGUUUCGGAUCGUAAAGCUCUGUUGUAAGUCAAGAACGGGUGUGAGAGUGGAAAGUUCACACUGUGACGGUAGCUUACCAGAAAGGGACGGCUAACUACGUG